rnacentral:rRNA from 1 species
UACGGGGGGGGCAAGCGUUGUUCGGAAUUACUGGGCGUAAAGCGCACGUAGGCGGAUUUGUAAGUCAGGGGUGAAAUCCCGGGGCUCAACCUCGGAACUGCCUUUGAUACUGCAAAUCUCGAGUCCGGAAGAGGUGAGUGGAAUUCCUAGUGUAGAGGUGAAAUUCGUAGAUAUUAGGAAGAACACCAGUGGCGAAGGCGGCUCACUGGUCCGGUACUGACGCUGAGGUGCGAAAGCGUGGGGAGCAAACAGG